UACGUAGGGACCGAGCGUUGUCCGGAAUCAUUGGGCGUAAAGAGCGUGUAGGCGGCCACUUAAGUCCUGCGUGAAAUCUUGCGGCUCAACGCAAGCGGUCGUGGGAAACUGGGUGGCUAGAGUGCGGGAGAGGAGAGUGGAAUUCCUGGUGUAGCGGUGGAAUGCGCAGAUAUCAGGAAGAACACCCGUGGCGAAGGCGGCUCUCUGGAACGCAACUGACGCUGAGACGCGAAAGCGUGGGGAGCAAACAGG
rnacentral:rRNA from 1 species